GAUUCAUUUCAGUUUAUUUUUGAUUUCAUUAAAUACCCUUCUCCCAAUUACAUUGCACUUAAAUAUUAAUGCAUGAACAAUGUACAGUACACCUUGCCUACCACACGGUUGCAACUCUCGUCUCUUUUUUUUCGCCAAAAGGGUUCAAAACAUUGUUUUUAUUCUGCAAUUUGUCCCGGACUGGAAUGAGAUUUUUUUUCUGCUCUUCUUGUUGUUAAUCCAUCCACAAUCCGCUUUUCCUUUCAUUAGUGGAAAUCUCCGACCCGGAAUUAUAAAUCGAUAUUAUGUUUUUUUGUUGUUGUUAAUAAAUGACAUUUUGAUCAUUGUUUCUCUGCCUUAUUUCGUAAUGUUGUGUGUUGUUCUGUGCGAUUACAGCUGGACCCCAAAAAUGUUAUGUUUUUUUUUCAUUUUUCUCAUUAUUAAUGUACUUGUUUAAUGUUCGGUAGAAUUAGUUGAUAUUUGUUUCUCCGGUUAAAUGUUGCAUGCUUCGUUAUCGUUGAACUUUGUUUUUUUCCUCUACUCAUUUAUCAAACCCAGAACUUAUUCGGAAAACAAGCACUCUCACGCAACAUUUGGCGCCAAUAAAUUGAUUGCUUUUUUCGGUGAUAAAAAACAUGGCUCUCGAUUGUAUCAUUAUUAUGUUUUAAAAUAUAUCCUUUAAUUAUGCUGCUUUUUGCUCGCACGGCGUUCGUUUCAAUCACAAUUACAUGUAAAGUUUUAUUUCUUUUUUUCAAUAAACACCAAAAACAGUUUUGUGUGUAGCUGAAGUAUUCUUCUUUUGAUUGAUUAUAUUCUUGCUGAGAGAGUAGUACAAAGGGGAAAGAUGAGUUACAUUUGGUAAACAGUUUUUUUUUGUUACAUACAUUGCUUGUUUAGUUUAUUUUUUGUUCAAUAGAUACAGAUUACAGAAUGUUACACACAAGAAUAAGUUUUUGAAAAUGAAACAAUAAAAAAACAGUGGAACGUUGUGUUGUGCUAGUCGAAAUCAAAGCAAAAGCUACGUAACUCGCUACUGAACUCGAUCAAGUCAGCUGAUGAUUGCUUUUUCCUUUUCUUUCAUUUUUGAUGCAUUUAUCGGUGCGCAUUCCUUCUAUAUUUUGCAUUUUUUUGUGAUUUUAUUUUAAACGUUUAUUUUGAUUGAAUGAUUGUAAAAAAAUCUACAAACUUUUGUAAUGGAUUUUUUAUUUUUAAUAUGUCAAGGCAGGACUGGACUAGGAAAUGUUUGUAUUAUUUUAUUUUAAACUUUUUCAUUCAUAAUUCCUUUCGUAAUUUUAUUCUCUGCAUUGGGGGGAUUAAUGUUGUUCGUCUCAUAUGUAUUGUUGUUAUAUGUUGGAUUAGCCGUUACAAUUGUAUGGCAUGGAUUGGUCACUUUCUAAAUCGAACGAUAUUUGUUUUUGGGCUAGCUAUAAGAUUUUUCUAUCAAUAUGAACUGAAAAGGGGUGGCAGAGGUUACCUUCGAGGGUACACACAAAAAAAUAUUACGGUAAUGACAAAAGUAACUUACUUUUGAAUUAAAAAGUUGUUAAAAUUUGCUACAUUAAAAGUUUUUUUCUUGUUUUGAAAAUGAAAACUUUUACUGCUACAGUUUUUGAAAAUCUCAAUGCUCACUGGUUUAAAAGUUUUUACUUUUAAUUCGACUGUAAAAUUUCUUUCAUUUUGACGUUCUCGUGUAACCGUGUACGCCUAAGUCGCAAAUGUAAACAAACACUUUGGUGGGUCCGGUGCUGCUGGUGAGUCUAGGACGCAAAGCAAAGCCGACCGCGGCAGCAGCCAGGACUCGGACGCGGAAACCUUAGUGAGCCAAACAGCAGCAGCGGAAUGCCUUUGAAGGAGGGUGGUGCAGGAGCGGGACGAGGUCGAGUGCUCGAAAAGGACAAGGCCAGCUUCCUGCAGGAACUGCAGCUGUUCCACGGCCGGAAUGCGAUGAGAGGUAGGAAUGUGGAUUCGCACCGGUUGUAUUGGGUGGUGGUGGCCCGGGAUUGGUGGUUGAAGGUCAAUUCGCGUGAGGACUGGGGCGAGAGAUGGCGCUGCCGAAGCGUUGCGUGAACAACGAGAUUGCGUUGAAGAAGAUUAACUUCCGGUUUUUGGACAAGUACGCGAAAGUUUAUUUUCACGAUGGGCCUCCGACGAAGAGGAGGAAGACGAAAAGCUACAUAAUCGGAGGUGGUCAGCGCAGAUGUUGCACUCGGUGCCGGCGGUUUACAGCACCGCAACUUCCCGCCCACAAACACUCACGUCGCGACGGCGCAGCUUCAGCCGAAUGAAUCUGGACAGUGAGCCAAAAAAAAUCUGUGUCACUCUCGAAGUAGGAUUACGUGCUCAAAAUCGAACUCCGUUCCGAGGGCCUCAUCAAUCCAAUCUUCCGGAUGCGCUUCCAGGAUCGGGAACUCCCCGUUCAGGCACUUUACUUUCCAGCCGGGAAACGUCGACGACCCUUCCCGAAUCAAUGGCCAACUCCUCCAAGACUGUCCUGAUUGAGGCCGGAAACGUGACCAUCGUGUUACACUGCUGUCGCGCGUCGAAGCCUCCAUCCGGAACCGUCCAGCCUGGGGUAUUCCGAAGUGACCGGUGGCGUACCGUAUGAAGCAGAAGCUAGUGGAGAACGUUAAAUACAAAAAAGUGUUUUUCUAACAUACUGUUUAAUUUUUUUUAAAUAAAUGUAAAAAACCAAGCACAUUUUUCUGAAAUUAUCCCUGUAGUGCUAAAUAUUGUGUAUUCUUGCCAUAAAAGGUUUCUUUUCCAAUUAAAAGUAAAAUAAUUUUACCAAUACAACGAUUUUGUCCCAUAAAUGCAUGGUAGUAUCAAAAACUUUCCAACUUUUAAAUUGAAAAGUUUGAACUUUCAACGAAUAUUCACCAACGCGAACUUUUAAUCCAACGAACGAUCUUUUUAAAUUUAGAGUAAUUUUUCUUUGUGUGUACGUCGAUGGGCUGUGUGAUGUGUGUGCUAUUCAAUCAAAGAUUUACAAAAUAUACAGCAAUUCUACACAAAAACAGCAUGAUUCGAAAGAAGUUCUCCGAUCGGGCUCAAAAAUUUUCUGGGGAUUCCCUGGCCGAAAUAAUUAGACCCGUAUUUUUUUGUUUGGCCAUUAGGGUGACCUACGCCGUGUUAAGGUGGUCAAAAAAAUGGCAAUUUUCGUUGGUUUUCACAAAAACCCUUUUUUUUUUUCAAAAAAUCAUUACUCCACGCCAUUUCAAUUGAUUUGGACGCAAAUGAAAGGGUAUUAGAUAGGCUUUUAAGGAAAAAUAGUUAAAAUAUUUCAAAUAUCUAGGCCGAUAUUUUAAAAGGUCGUAUGAAAACUUAAAAUACUGUUUUGAAGGUCUCGGGACCAAAAAGCCUACGUAUGAAAACAUUUUUUUUAAUUUUCGUAAUUUAAAGACGCAACUUAUGGUACCCAAACAUGUAUAGGUCAUAGCUUUAAUUUCAAAUUUAUAACAGUUUUAGUGAAAAAAGUAAAUUUUUUUCGUCAGUUUUUCGAAAUUUCCCAUUUUUGCGAGUGGUGCGUCGAAAAACCCAGUUUUUAUUUUCAAAAAAUCGUAUCACGGAAUAUUGAAAACAUAACUUCACCAUUUUUUGAUAUGAUAUGUUUUUUUUUUCGAGGAAUCCGACAAAAAUAUUUUCAGACAUAAGCUCGUUGGUCCCGAGACCAUCAAAACAGCAUUUUAAGUUUUCAUUCGACCUUUUCAAAUGUUAGGCUAGAUAUUUUAAACUUCUAACUAUUUUUCCUUAAAAGCCGAUCUAAUACUCUUUCAUUUGCGUCCAAGACAGCUAAAAUCGAUUGAAAUGGCGCGGAGUAAUAUUUUUUUUGAAAAAAGUGGUUUUGCGAAAAUCGACGAAAAUGGCCAUUUUUUGGACCACCCUAACUUGGCGUUAGUCAACCUAAUGACCAAACAAAAAAAUCUGGGUCUAAUUAUGUUGGCCAAGGACCACCCAGAAAAAUUUCGAGCCCGAUCCGAGAACUUUUUUUUCGAAUCAUACUGUUUUCGUGGGGAAUUGCUAUAUAAUGAAAUUGCGUAUCUAUAUAUCAACUUAUCACUUGAAAUUAAAUGACAAUUUUCUUUUGUAAACAAAUAUUUCAUGUUAAAUGUUUAUUCGCUGGUAAAAAGUCCACAAUCUGACUUUUUUGUAUUUUCAAAUAUUUUAUGUUUUCAUAAUGAACUCCGUGGAAUUUAAUUUAUUUUAUUCCCUUGGUUUUGCACAAUAAAAUGGUUCUUAUGCAAAAAAGUCCUGGGAAGUGAUUGCAGAGGGUUUCAUCCAAGGUGGACCACGGGGAACUGAGAUAUGGCGGAGUUUUUACCGGAAUUUUUAUGAAGGUCCACCAAGAUAAGACAGUACAGAGCUGGCGACAGGAACCAUGUUCCGGAACCCCUGUAGGAGAUUGACCAGGUCGGUUCAAUAAUUUAGGCAUGUUGCAAUUCAAACGUAAUAAUUCCAACACAGUAGGCUACCACUAUUGUCCAAUUAUAAAAACAAUUCAUAAAUGGACCUAAGAAUUCUGAAAACUUUUCUUUGAAAAUAACAAAAAAUAAAAACUUGUUAUCACCUUGAAUGCGCUUCAAUCUCCCAGGAUAAUUAUGAGUAUGAAACACAGAAAUCGGUCGAAAAAUCUCAAUCGCGUUUUUCUCAAUUUUGUACCUUUUUGAACUUGAUACAAUCUGCGUAGAACGGCAGAGUAGUUGUUAGAAAUUUUUUUUCUCAAUUUAAGUUCAUCUUUAGAUUGUACCUCAGCAAUUGAUUGUAAUUUUCUCAGCAAUCCAAAUCUGAAUACUUGCAGAAUG